GGAUCUUUAGCUCAGUUGGUUAGAGCAACCGGCUCAUAACCGGUUGGUCCGGGGUUCAAGUCCCUGAAGAUCCACCA
rnacentral:tRNA from 1 species